GCUUUCUGGAAAAUCUCGAAAUCAACAUUAUAUACAUCCACUUUUCUCUCACCGGGGCAAAUCUUAAUUGCUGAAGGCCCAAUAUCCACUCCAUUACUAGAUUUAUCCAUCAAAGGUAGAUAAUUUGAAAAAGCAUCCCAAAAAUAAACUGGUUCCUCUCCUUCUUUAACCACUAUAAUUGGCCCUUGCGCUCUCUCAUAACGAACAAUCUGGCAUACAGCCCCUCUAGC
rnacentral:misc_RNA from 1 species